rnacentral:rRNA from 1 species
AUGAGCGAUAUAUUCGCCCUUCAGCUUAUGCAGGUGCCACAAUUGACAAAAGAAGCUACUCUUGCUGUCACGAGUCUCUACCCCACUCUUCUCUCGCUUGCUAAGAGCAAUUCAGCAUUGAAGAACAAGAGCGAUAGGUGCGCCCAGGAGGAGAUGCUGAAGAACAAGAGCGACAUGGUCAACGCGAGGGCUAGCAAGAACAUUUUCAAGCUCAUCUGGGCGGAAGGAUGA